rnacentral:rRNA from 1 species
GACGAACGCUGGCGGCGUGCCUAAUACAUGCAAGUCGAACGCAGUGGGGACGGGUUAGUAACACGUGGGUAACCUCCCAUCAGAGGGGAUAACACGUGGAAACAGGUGCUAAACCGAUACUGAUGGAUGAACACGCGGUGCAUUAGCUAGAUGGUGGGGUAACGGCUCACCAAGGCCACGAUGCAUAGCCGAGCUGAGAGGGUGACGAGCCACACUGGGACUGAGACACGGCCCAGACUCCUACGGGAGGCAGCAGUAGGGAAUAUGUGGCAAUGGGCGAAAGUCUGACCCAGCCAUGCCGCGUGUGUGAAGAAGGCUUUCGGAUUGUAAAACUCUUUUGUUCGAGAAGCGUUAUCUACCCAGAAAGCCCCGGCUAACUACGUGCCAGCAGCCGCGGUAAUAC